AUCUAUCUGACGAGUCUCAAAUGGGACGAAACACGCGUCUUGGAU
rnacentral:hammerhead_ribozyme from 1 species